rfam:Triticum aestivum genome assembly, contig: Triticum_aestivum_CS42_TGACv1_scaffold_080863_1DS
GAUAUACUCCCUCCGUCCGAAAAUACUUGUCAUCAAAAUGGACAAAAAGAGAUGUAUCUAAAACUAAAAUACAUCUAGAUACAUCCCCUUUUAUUCAUUUUAAUGACAACCAUUUCCAGACGAAGGGAGUACUUC